rnacentral:rRNA from 1 species
CCUACGGGUGGCAGCAGUGAGGAAUAUUGGUCAAUGGGCGCGAGCCUGAACCAGCCAAGCAGCGUGAAGGAUGACUGCUCUACGGGUUGUAAACUUCUUUUUUAAAGGAAUAAAGUGAGGCACGUGUGCAUUUUUGUCUGUACCUUAUGAAUAAGGAUCGGCUAACUCCGUGCCAGCAGCCGCGGUAAUACGGAGGGUCCGAGCGUUAUCCGGAUUUAUUGGGUUUAAAGGGAGCGUAGAUGGGUUGUUAAGUCAGUUGUGAAAGUUUGCGGCUCAACCGUAAAAUUGCAUUUGAUACUGGCAGCCUUGAGUACAGUUGAGGUAGGCGGAAUUCGUGGUGUAGCGGUGAAAUGCGUAGAUAUCACGAAGAACUCCGAUUGCGAAGGCAGCUUACUAAACUGCCACUGACAUUGAUGCUCGAAAGUGUGGGUAUCAAACAGGAUUAGAUACCCGGGUAGUC